rnacentral:rRNA from 1 species
CCGAAAGGGAGAUUAAUACCUGAUGGUGUUCAAAUUCCGCAUGUUAUUGAACUAAAGAUUUAUCGGUAACGGAUGGGGAUGCGUGACAUUAGGUAGAUGGCGGGGUAACGGCCACCAUGCCUACGAUGUCUAGGGGUUCUGAGAGGAAGGUCCCCCACACUGGAACUGAGACACGGUCCAGACUCCUACGGGAGGCAGCAGUGAGGAAUAUUGGUCAAUGGUCGGAAGACUGAACCAGCCAAGUAGCGUGAAGGAUGAAGGUUCUAUGGAUUGUAAACUUCUUUUAUACGGGAAUAAAACCUCCUACGUGUAGGAGCUUGUAUGUACCGUAUGAAUAAGCAUCGGCUAACUCCGUG